AAAGUGGCCGCUGAAACUCCUGUAUACAAACCUAUACAACUACCUCAUCGAUUAAAUUGUUCAAAUAAAGAAAAUUCAUUCAGUGAACUGGCCUGUGUGUCCUAAUGAUCUUCAUAGACUUCCCACGACCGUUUUAACGUGCAAUUAACCAUGCAGAGCCAGUGGUGAUAUCUAGGCGACCGAAAAUAAGAACAAGGAAAGAACAAGUAAAGAGAGAACCAAUGACAGGUAGUAACAACGUGUUCGAAUGAGAAUGUGAAAUUAAUUUAAUGAAUGUCUCGUUAGCGCACAGGCUUUCGCCUUGAUCAUCUUUAGCGUAUUCUAAAAUUACUGUCAACAUUUUUUAAACAAACUUUGUCGCUUUAUAUGCCUCUCUAUUGUAAGUAAUUAGAUGCUUACUCACGCCCUAAUUGUUACAAACAAAUAAUCAGGUUUAUUAGCCUUUCAAUGGGCCAUGUCACCAUAUCUGAGUUAUUCUUUUUGUGCAGAUAUUCCGGAUCCAUGCGCGAAGGUGUUGUGCCCACGCGUCAUGAGCUUGACCGACAACAACUGGCUUUGCCGUGAAGACAUUGAUCCAGAUCUGAAGCCAACUGAGGAAUAUGCGGACCCAUUCGCAUAUGUAGACGCUUGGGAAGAGCAGAUGGAUGAAGGAAGUGGAGCGCGCCGGAAACGAUGGAUUGACAAUAUUGAUCCGGGGUGCAUGAAAAGAGAUGGAAGUCCAGAAAAAGAUGGAAUAACAUGCAUGAUGUCGGAUUCAAUAGAACGCGGUCCCCAUGAUGGAGGUCAAUGUCACCUCGGUGUAUGCAAGAAUGGUCGAUGUGUAUCGGCGUUAUACUCAACAUGUGCAACAUUUAUUUGAAACUACUGACACGAACUCUCGGCAGGAAUACUUUAUGUCUAGAAUUGUUUUGCCAGAGAAAAGUAGUCGCAAUUAUCAUAAUUUUUACUCUGUAGGGUGUAAAUUAUGCUGUUUAUCUCAAUAAAAUUAUAUUUUCUGCUGUU